AUUGAACGCUGGCGGCAUGCCUUACACAUGCAAGUCGAACGGCAGCACGGGUGCUUGCACCUGGUGGCGAGUGGCGAACGGGUGAGUAAUACAUCGGAACAUGUCCUGUAGUGGGGGAUAGCCCGGCGAAAGCCGGAUUAAUACCGCAUACGAUCUACGGAUGAAAGCGGGGGACCUUCGGGCCUCGCGCUAUAGGGUUGGCCGAUGGCUGAUUAGCUAGUUGGUGGGGUAAAGGCCUACCAAGGCGACGAUCAGUAGCUGGUCUGAGAGGAGGACCAGCCACACUGGGACUGAGACACGGCCCAGACUCCUACGGGAGGCAGCAGUGGGGAAUUUUGGACAAUGGGCGAAAGCCUGAUCCAGCAAUGCCGCGUGUGUGAAGAAGGCCUUCGGGUUGUAAAGCACUUUUGUCCGGAAAGAAAUCCUUGGCUCUAAUACAGUCGGGGGAUGACGGUACCGGAAGAAUAAGCACCGGCUAACUACGUG
rnacentral:rRNA from 1 species